UGCUGCCCGCCGGCAGUCCCGAGCCUGCCAUUUCGUGUCCUGUUCUCAAAUUUGUUUUGUUUUUGUAAACGAGUCAUCGCACACACCCAAAGCCCCCAGUCCGUCUCUCCUCGAGGACCAGUAGUGAUUGCAUGUGCUGCGAUUGCUGGCAGGAGCCCACUCAGCCCUCUAACUCAGGCCUUCCUGCUCAGUAAUGCUGUAGGAGGCCUUGUGCCAAACACGCUUGUGUUGAAAUAAAACCUUGGAUUGUUUAGUGAUGGGACUAUGGCAUAAGCAGGAGCUGGCCGAAAUGAGAGGACAGAAUCAUCUGUACUUCCUCUCCUGCGGUCCCAGCCAUGGCAGGAGUGAGGAUGGGCUCCUCCAGAAAUGCACAGUCCACCAAGGCAGCUUGGGUGCAGUAGGGCCGUGGCUCCUCCGACAACUGGACCACACAAUGGAGAGAGCUGCUGAGGUAGCAUUGCCAUGGCUUGUGAAAGUCAAACAGCGUCUUGGAGGCCUCCCUCCCUCCCCUUACACGCCUGGCCUCGGCUUCUGUACAGCCAUGCUGAGUUGGGCUCUUUCCUCCAGGCCAGAACAACAAGGAGGCAAGAAAGAAAGGCUCUACACAGUAUGAAUUUGGUUCCACUCUGUCCAGAAUACUUAGAAGUCGAAU